CCCUUAGAUGUUCUGGGCCGCACGCGCGCUACACUGAUGCAUUCAACGAGUUUCUUCCUGGUCCGAGAGGAAUGGGUAACCUUUUGAAAGUGCAUCGUGAUAGGGAUAGACUAUUGCAAUUAUUGGUCUUCAACGAGGAAUUCCUAGUAGACGUAGUUCAUCAGACUGCAUCGAUUACGUCCCUGCCCGUUGUACACACCGCCCGUCGCUCCUACCGAUUGAAUGCUCAGGUGAGCCAUUCGGACUUUCAUCAUGCUGGUUUCCAGUUUUGAUGAAGGAAAGUCUUGCGAACCUUAUCAUUUAGAGGAAGGAGAAGUCGUAACA
rnacentral:rRNA from 1 species